UACGGAGGAUCCAAGCGUUAUCCGGAAUUAUUGGGCGUAAAGGGUAGGUAGGUGGUGAUAAAAGUCUGGGGUGAAAUCCCUGAGCUCAACUCAGGACGUGCCUUGGAAACUUUAUCACUAGAGUACUAGAGAGGUUCGUGGAAUUCCUGGUGUAGCGGUGAAAUGCGUAGAGAUCAGGAGGAACAUCAGCGGCGAAGGCGGCGAACUGGAUAGUAACUGACACUCAACUACGAAAGCGUGGGGAGCAAACAGG
rnacentral:rRNA from 1 species